rnacentral:tRNA from 1 species
GGCCUGCUAGUUCAGUUGGUUAGAGCGUCGUGCUAAUAACGCGAAGGUCGUAGGUUCGAUCCCUGCGCAGGCCA